UGGCUAUUCACCAUAAGAAAAUACAUAAUGGCAUUAAGAGCCUAUAAAUAACUAAAGUGAACACUUGGUAUCUAUUAAAAUGUAAUUGUGAUUCUCAAAUCUUAUGUGUUAGUUGGGUAUAUAUUGUGUCCUUUGCAUGUUUCUAGCAGCCAUUUUUGCAAGCAUUAAUCUUGGCUAACUUAAUCUAACCUGUAAACAUACACCAAAUUAGUUUAAAAGAAUUUGGAGGCAGGGCCAACAACAUUGCAGUGGGAUGACAUUAUGCACAUUUUAUUUCCUAUUUCCUUCUGUCUUUUGGGUCAUGAAUAUCUAAACAUAACAGAUUAUACAUCAACUGAUAUGUUAGUUGGAAGCCAAUACUUCUACCCAUACAUUUGAGGAUGUUUUUGGAGGUGAUUGUUGAAAGGACUCAGAAAAAUAUAGUAGCAUAUCUAUUUAGGGCUUACACAUGAUGGCGCAUAAUGCGCCUUAUCCUGUUUUGUUGAUUGAAUAUUGCAGAAGUAUCCAGCAAGGGUCCAAUCCAAUGCACCUCGGUAUGAACAUUUUCUAGCAAACUUUUGUUCAGAACUCAUUUUGUAAUUUUAGCAUCAUACUGGAUAUUAACCUUCAUAGGAAGAUGAGGACAAGAAGCUCCUACUGGGAAAAUAGCAAACUGCGCAAUCUCAGCUUGAUGAGAUUAUCAAAGCAAAAAUCAGACUAAUUUCAGAGAACACUGAGUUGAAGCAAUCUGUUGAGUAUUAAAGAUGAUAUAAAUAGUCUCAAGCCAAAGCUUAGUGCCACAGAAUUGAGUACACUGGAAGAGGAACACAAGGCUCUCUUGUCAGAGAAGGAUGGAGAAUUGGAGUACAUGCGGAGUUUGGAUACCAACCUCGAGAAAGUGAAGGUGUGCGUGCGGAGGAGACUACAAGGUGGAUACAUGCGGUUGUGAUGUGGGAUAAUAGUGUAUUAUUGAUAUCAACUCUGAAUGAAUUGUUACUUUUGCGAAGUUACAACUGAAUUUUCUCAAAAAUAAGCUUGAUGAGCUCAGAGACUUGUGGAUCAAAUACGUGGAUGAAUAUAAACAAGUGGAUGAAGAACAAUCGGAAGAUAAUGACCAUUUUAAUUAGGAUGUGUGUAUUUUCCUUUUGAGCGGGAUUAGGGAGGUGCUUCUAUUUUUGUACACAUGAAUUGGAAGAAAUGGGCCUAGGUGCUCUAUUAUUUUUUUUAUAACUUAGUUGAAUUUUUGGAAUCUUUUAAACAUUAUAUUGAUAUGCAUGUAAUUUUGUAGUGAAUGA